UAAGUACUCUUAGCUGUAACCUUCAUUGACAUGCAAGAAAUAAAAGAACCCCAAUUGUAAUUUCAAUUUUGUUUUCUUGCAUGUAGCAUCUCAACAAAGUAGUGUCCUACAUUUGCAAACCUCUUCGUAGGCGUUUGCAUGGGAUUUGAAAGCAUGAUUUCAUAUUUUGAUUUCAAAUUAGCGUUUUUUUUUUUAUUUUUUUUUUAUGAAAUUUGCACAAAAUUUCAACUUUAACUUCAUAUCUUGAUUUCAAAUCUCAAAUUCUCCAAAAAGUCGGAUUGGGAUUCCAAAUAGUGAUUUUAUUUUUUUUUAAAUAUAAAACUUGACCCAUAAGUUUAUAUUUUGUAAAAAAAGAUCCAUAAGUUGGUAGAUAUAUUUUUUAAAUGUAAAUCUUGACUCAAAGCAACAAUGUUAGUUCGUCUUCUCGGUCAUCAAAUCAGAAAAUGCAUGCUUGAAGUGAAGAGAUUGUUCGUACUUUGUGAGAGGAUUAUAUCAAAGAGUUGUUACACUACAACUCAUGUUUAAUUUUCCUUUUUGUUGAACUAAAGUUAGAUCAAUAAAACAACAACAACAACAAUAUACCCAUUGUAAUCCCACAAGUGGGUCUGGGGAGGAUAGACUGUACGCAGACCUUAACCCUACCUUGGGAGGUAGGAAGACUGUUUCCGAAAAACCUUCGGCUCAAGAGAAAGCAUGACAAGAAAAGGUUAGACAAGGAUUGAAGAAAGUAGAGAAGCCAUCACAAAAUAGCUAAGAAGAAAAGUAACAGUCAAUGCAGCAAACUAAUACGAUAAUCGAAGUACAAGAGAUAACAGAUAGUAACCUGAAAUGGAAUUAAGGACAAUAAACUACAAAGGUAAUUAGAACAGUUCGAUCAAUAGAUGUUGUAUUUUUUAGGAAGGCCUUCUGGUAGUGUGUUAACUUAAUUUGUUAUGAAAUAUAGUUUGCUCAUCUGGUAAGAUUGUAUAAAAAUUUGAGAAGUUUUGACUGUAGGGUUUUCAUAAUGAGAAAUUUACUUGUCAUAGCUACCUCUAAGACUUAUUUAUGAAUAAUAAUUACCUUAUUUUUUAUUUAAUUUUUGUAGCUUUAUUUUUCCAAAAUUACAUUUUAUAACUAGUUCAGUAACUUUCAAAAUACAUAUAACUCUCUCUAUUCUCCCUCACUACACAUUUAAGCUACUCCAAAUCCUAAAAAAAAUUCUCUCUCCUCUCCUCUCCUCUCCUUCCCCUCACUACCGCCUCUCUCUCUCCUUUUCUCUAUCUCCGGCCUCUCCUCUCUUUCAUCUCACUUAGCCCUCCCUCCCUCCUCCAUCUCCACCCACAACGCCGCCGUCAGCACCACCACCGUAUCUGUAUAACUACUCCAAAAGUUUUGACUUUAGACAAUUAAUGUGUUUGAGCCGUUGCGUGAAUAGGAGACUCAAAAUGUCAGAAGGAAAUCAAGAACGGGCUGAUGCAAUAGCAGAAACUUUUGGUGGAAAAAUGAAUAAACCUAAAGAAAAGUAGGGUGUUAAUUUUUUGUUAAAUACUCAUCACAUACAUAUUUGUAUUGGCUCUAGUCAAAAGGUAUCGGCUUUUCAUUGGCACCCAAAAGCUAUGGUGGCGGCUGAAACCAGAGAGAGAAUCCAUUUGAGUUCACCAUUUUCAGAUUUGAAACGGUGGCGGCUGCGGGGGUCCGAUUGUUGUGAUGGUUGUUUUUUUUUAUGUAUAUAGUGUAUUUUUUUUGUAUUCGCUUGUAUUUCGAAGGAGAAAAUGUGUAUUCGUCAUUUUUAGAGUA